AUGAAUUAGAAAGAAAGAGAUCAGGUUAUUUAUGAUCGGAGAAAAGAAGGGGCGUGGUUGAUGUGUCACUGGGGAACCCGUAGGAAGGGGAGACGACCGGCCUCAUUCACAUCUGAAAUCGCCAACAUGAACACAAACGAAAUCGUCUUAAUUUCAUAUAGAAAGAAAAAAAAGGAAACAAGUAAAAAAGCGUGGUCCCCGGGGAUAGGUACUUCGUCCGGCGCGGUAUCAUUGCUGAGCGAUCGCUCACUAUCUGGAAAUGGAGUGUUAGUUUCAAAUAGAGAUUGUGUGGGUGUGAAGUGUACUGAAGAUCGAGGUUUUUCUUCUUACUAA
rnacentral:rRNA from 1 species